ensembl:lncRNA
AGAGGCAACAGCUCCAUGAGGAGUGAGCAUGGGCUUGGUCAGAACCAUGCCCUCUAGUGGGCAGCCUCACAGGCCAGGGCUGAAGGCCAGACCCCUCAGAACUGACAGGACAGACGCUGGGGUGUGGGGAGGGAUAAUCUAACCUUCGAGGACCCAGCUGCAUGGGGGCAUGCUUGGCUAGGAGCCUUCCUUUAUACUUUCAACAAAUAUCUGACUAUCUGCUCUAUGCCAGGCAUGGGAUUUGGUAGUAUAUUAACUUUCUAUGACUGCUAUAACAAAUCACCACCAAUUUGCUGGCUUAAAAAAGUUUUCUCAGAGUUCUCUCUCACAGUUCUCUCUCACAGUUCCCUCACAGUUCCCUCACAGUUCUCUCUCACAGUUCCCUCACAGUUCCCUUACAGUUCUCUCUCACAGUUCUCUCUCACAGUUCUCUCUCACAGUUCCCUCACAGUUCCCUCACAGUUCUCUCACAGUUCUCUCUCACAGUUCUCUCUCACAGUUCUCUCUCACAGUUCCCUCACAGUUCCCUCACAGUUCUCCCACAGUUCCCUCUCACAGUUCUCUCUCACAGUUCUCUCACACAGUUCUCUCUCACAGUUCCCUCGCAUUUCCCUCACAGUUCUCUCUCACAGUUCUCACAGUUCCGUCACAUUUCCCUCACAGUUCUCUCUCACAGUUCUCUCACAGUUCCCUCACAGUUCUCUCACAGUUCCCUCACAGUUGUCUCACAGUUCUCUCUCACAGUUCUCUCUCACAGUUACCUCACAGUUCCCUCACAGUUCUCUCUCACAGUUCCCUCACAGUUGUCUCACAGUUCUCUCUCACAGUUCUCUCUCACAGUUCCCUCACAGUUCCCUCACAGUUCUCUCUCACAGUUCCCUCCAGUCCCCUCACAGUUCCUCACAGUUCUCUCACAGUUCCCUCACAGUUCUCUCUCACAGUUCCCUCCAGUCCCCUCACAGUUCCCUCACAUUCCCUCACAGUUCUCUCUCACAGUUCCCUCACAGUGCCCUCACAGUUCUCUCUCACAUUUCCCUCACAGUUCUCUCUCACAUUUCCCUCACAGUUCUCUCUCACAUUUCCCUCACAGUUCUCUCUCAUAGUUCUCACAGUUCCCUCACAGUUCCCUCACAGUUCCCUCACAGUUCUCUCACAGUUCCCUCACAGUUCUCUCACAGUUCUCUCUCACAGUUUCCUCAGAGUUCCAUCACAGUUCUCUCACAGUUCUGUCACAGUUCUCUCACAGUUCCCUCACAGUUUUCUCACAGUUCUCUCUCACAGUUUCCUCAGAGUUCCCUCACAGUUCUCUCACAGUUCCCUCACAGUUCUCUCUCACAGUUUCCUCAGAGUUCCCUCACAGUUCUCUCUCACAGUUCCUCACAGUUCUCUCUCAUAGUUCUCACAGUUUCCUCACAGUUCUCUCUCACAGUUCCCUCACAGUUCUCUCUCACAUUUCCCUCACAGUUCCCUCACAGUUCUCUCUCACAGUUUCCUCAGAGUUCCAUCACAGUUCUCUCACAGUUCUGUCACAGUUCUCUCACAGUUCCCUCACAGUUCCAUCACAGCUCUCUCACAGUUCCAUCACAGUUCUCUCACAGUUCCAUCACAGUUCUCUCACAGUUCCCUCACAGUUCUCUCACAGUUCCCUCACAGUUGUCUCACAGUUGUCUCUCACAGUUCUCUCUCACAGUUCUCUCUCACAGUUCUCUCUCACAGUUCUCACAGUUCCCUCACAGUUCCCUCACAGUUCCCUCACAGUUCCCUCAGUUCUCUCACAGUUCUCUCUCACAGUUCUCUCUCACAGUUCUGACAGUUCACUCACAGUUCUCUCUCACAUUUCCCUCACAGUUCCCUCACAGUUCUCUCUCACAGUUUCCUCAGAAUUCCAUCACAGUUCUCUCACAGUUCCCUCACAGUUCUCUCACAGUUCCCUCACAGUUGUCUCACAGUUGUCUCUCACAGUUCUCUCUCACAGUUCUCACAGUUCCCUCACAGUUCCCUCACAGUUCCCUCACAGUUCUCUCUCACAGUUCUCUCUCCCAGUUCUGACAGUUCCCUCACAGUUCUCUCUCACAUUUCCCUCACAGUUCCCUCACAAUUCUCUCUCACAGUUUCCUCAGAGUUCCAUCACAGUUCUCUCACAGUUCUGUCACAGUUCUCUCACAGUUCCAUCACAGUUCUCUCACACUUCCCUCACAGUUGUCUCACAGUUGUCUCUCACAGUUCUCUCUCAUAGUUCUCUCACAGUUUUCUCGCAGUUCUGGAGGCCAGAAGUCAGAAACCAUUAUCACAAGGCUAAGAUCAAGGUGUGGCUCCCUUUGGGGACUCCAUUUCUCACCUCGUCCAGUUUCUGGUUCCUGCUGACAUUCCUUGACUUGUGGCCACAUCCCUCCCAUUUCUGCUUUCAUGGUCACAGGAUCUCCUCUCAUAUGUGCACCCCCUCUCCUCCUGCCCGUCUCUCAGAAGGAUACUUGGGAUUUGGUUCAAGACUAAUUCAGAUGACCCAGGAUGAUCUCCUCCUCUCAAGAUCUUCAACCACAUCUGCAAUGACCCUUUUUCUGGUUCCUAGGAUUAGGAGCAAAUAUCUUUUGGGGACAAAGAUGAUUCAACCAAUUGCAGGUUGUGAAGAAAAAACACCAAGUCCCUGGCCUGGAAGUCCUUAGAUUUUAGGCUAGAAAAGCCAGGAAGCCUGUCAGCACAUAAAACAAUGCCAUGCUCUACAAAAUUCUGGGAAGAACAAUCCAGCUCCUUCAGACACUGUCCCCAGACCUCAGGGCUGAGCCAUGUGACAGGAGGGCAGUGGGCCCCAUCCAGCUGCCCUGGCCCUAUUCUGGCCACACAGGCAGAACCACAGUGUCUCUCAGCUGCAAACCUGUGUUUUGUGGCUCACAUCUGCCGCAGGUGAUUGCUGGGGUCCCUGUGACUUGAUGAGUGAGGACAGGACCUUUCCAGAUGUGGGGUGCAUGCAGUCUGGCUGCCCUGAGGAUGGGCAGGCUCUGUAGGGCUCAGCUGCAGUCUCAGCACACUUCCUUUCCAAGUGCGAACCCCACUGGGGACACUCACUGACCCACAGGGGCACGUGUCAGGGAUUCCAAAACUCCCCAGUUCUGAGUAGGUGCCACGGGGUUGCAGUGAUGAUGACUUUGGCUGAGGGAGGAUUCCUCAGGGGAGGGCAUGGCAGCCAUCAUGUGAAUCCCCAAAAUGUCACCUCCAUAUUUAGUGUCUGAGCUGGUAGAGCCAUUUUAUCGGUAAGCCUGGCCUCAGAGGUACAUCUAGAAAAGGCCUGCAGAGAAGGGACCAGAAUAGGGAGUCCUCAACACCUCGAGGUCACACGAUGCAUUUCAGCACAGGAGUGCUUCCCCUCUCCUCAGGUCUCUCUGCCAGGCGUACACUGGCUAGUCUUAUGUUUCAGAUCUUACUCCUCCUCCAUGAAUGGGAGGGGAAACCGAGCCCCAGGGAGUGAUACAACCCAUCCAGAACCCUACAGGUGCCAGCAGACCAGCCUGCCAUGCCCGCUCACACCUGAAUUGACAUGCAAUUUGCAAAUAACCCCUUCCCCUGCUUUUCACCCCUCCUCUCGUUCACCCUCCUCCACUCACAUCCACCCACAGGACACUGGGAAACUCUGAACGGACCUUGUCCUGCCCAGCACCUGAGCAGAGCCACAGCCAAGGGAGCCAAGCCCCCUCCCUCUGGCCCCCAGGAGUGUAGGCGGCCCUCGCCAGUCAAGCACUUAGUACCUUUGUUGUGAAAGAGAGGGGUCAUCAGGCCCGUUUCCUCAUCCUCCUUAGAGGGGAGAGCUGUUGAGGCAGGUCCACCAAAGUUGAAGGAGGGCUUUGAACUCUGCCGCAAAUGGCUGGAGAGAGACAGCCUGGCCCUAGGCCCCAGGCACCGCCACAGGACAGAGAAUCAGGUUGGGAAUGUCAGGACCAUUGUGCCAGGAAGCAGCACAGCGCUGUGCCUCUGAAGCCAGGCUUCAGAGAGAGUGGGACAGAGCUACCCUGCCCUGUCCUUGUGACCUUGGCAAGAGCCCCUGUGGGCACUCAGUGGCCCCUUUUGGGAAAUCAGUAUAACAGCGGAUCUCUCAGAGGGCUGCUAUGACAUGAGAGAUGAUUUCAGCCUAGCUUCUAACACACACUCAACACUAAUUAAAUGAGAGAAUAUAUUGUUAUUGUUGUUUCUAUUCCAUGACCUUGAGAAAGUCACUUCCUCAGGCCCCCUGGUACUUGGACAGACUUAGUGUUUGUUCGUCUCACAGUGGGCACUUUCAGGGCAGGAUGCAGGCCUGUGAUGGGAUGGGCUGUCCAGGUAGGCAUUUCUGCCCCCAUUUCACAGACAAGCAAACUGAAGUGAAGGGAGGUUCAGAAACACACCUGGGUCACCUGAUGAAUUAGUGAUUGGUAGGAAACCAGAACCCUGGUGUCCUAAGACUGCUGCAUGCCAUGGUACAGGAAUCCUGGCAACACCUAGGGAGAGGGCAUCGCCUCUCCUACCCCCAGUCCUGGAUGUGUUCAGGAGAUGGUGAGGCUGUCCCCAGCACAGCCCAGGCUGUGGCAGCCACAAGGCUCAGAGGUGCAGGUUUGGGUCCUGACAAUGCAACGCAAUGGGGCCGGCCUGGGGACCAUGCAGGAGGAGGGAGCACCUAGACCCCGCUGACCCCUGCCAACCUCCCAGGCUCCAAAUCUGGAAACUGUAGAGAUGAGCCCUGCCCACUGCAGAGCAUUCGUGAGGAGUUUGUGUCCCCAGAUGUUACCAGAUUUGAGCUAUUUCCUCCAGAUUGUUUGAACAAACCUGUGACUUUUGACCCAUCCUGGUCUGACUGGCUUUAGAGGGUGAGCUUCUCCCCGCUUUUGAGGUACCCAGCCCACAGACGUUCUCCGGGAGUUGGUGAUGGACAGGGAAGCCUGGUGGGCUUCAAUCCAUGGGGUCACAGAGUUGGACACGACUGAGCGACUGAACUGAACUGAACUGAACAGAGCCCAUAGAAAGUACCGCCCCUCUGGCCUCGCCUUCCUCCUCUUCAAGCAUCACCUGGAAAGAGCUGAGGAGAAAAAACCCUUGUUGUUUCUGGUGGGGGAGCCAGUAGAAGGUAUGGCUGCUUCACGGGGGUUUCUGCCUGUCUCCAUAGGCAGCUCCUCAACCCCACUCCCAUCAGCCCAAAACUUCAGUAGCACUGAAUCUAGUCCUAGCACAGGGGUCAGCCUGACAAUACUGUAGUCUCCCUGCCCCAAAUCAUGGCCUGGCCUCUGUGGCUGAGUGAUGGAAGAGGGUAGAGUGUGUGUGUGGUCACUGCAAGGGUGACCUUCAGGGCCCAGGCCCAAGGACAGGCUGCAGAGCUGCACCACCCAGGGUGCCCAGGGCAUCAGGUCUACUCUCAGAUCAGCUGUUGUUGCAAAGUGCCCCUGGUCGGUCUUACAUCUUUAAAAGUAGCGCUGCCAUGUGGAAAUGAGUGAACCUCAAACAUUGUUUGAUUCUUGAUCCCAUGGCUGGGUGGUCACCACGCCUCCAUCCAGGCCCCACUGGGCACAAAGCUAGAAGAGACAUCUAGACUCCAUCUCUCUGUCUCUCCUGCAGUUUGGAGUGUGCCUGACUUGUGACCAGCAGAAUGCAGGGGAGAAAUGUGGGCACCUCCAGGCCACCCAAGAAAACCACCUGCACACUCCUCUAGGCCCUCUGCCUCCACCUGCCUGUGAACAGAGCAGGCCAUAAGGGUUGGGGAGGGUGAGUACCAGAUGGAAGGAUCCUGGGAUCCUGAGGUGCCUCUGGCCAAGAGCCACCCUGCCAGGACUUCUAGUCAGGAACCCCUUGUUGGGGUUCUGUAUCAAUGAAAGGAAACUUCCAGAGCUUUAAGCCAAGUGCAUACCACAAGCCCAACCAAGCCUGUGAGCUCCAGCUUGUUUUUACAUUUGUGAAAAAUGACUUAAAGAAUAGUACUCUGUGACACAGGAAAAUGAUGUGAAAUCAAAAUUUCAGUGUCCAUCAGUGCAGUCUGAUUGAAGACAGCCAUACCCAUGACCCCUCUUAGUGUCUGUGGCUGUUUUCACACCCCAGCUACAGAGAUGAGCACAUUCAGGAGCUUUUCUGAAGGGAUGGGAUUGAAUAGUUUUAAGACUUUGGUAUAAGGUAAAGUUGCUUUUUGGAGGAUUAUACUAAAUUACGUUUCCACUGACCAUUUUCCACUCCCUGCCAAUCCCAGGUGUGUGAUACACACUCCCCUGUAGAAUGAGGGUUGAAACAAAAACAGAGCCUGUCACUCAUCCUCCCUUCUACAAAGGCUAAAUUACAGCCCACUGCUGUUACCCACCAAUGGUGCCCCUGAGGAUGGAAAAACAGGAUGAGGCAUGCUGUGCUUUGGAUACAGGCACCUAGAUAGACCACAUGCAUAUCUAAAGAAUUUCAAAGGCCCCAAAUUCCUGCAUCUUCCCAUUUACGGAAAUGCACUAAAAGCAUAAACUUGGGAGAUCUAUUUUUUAUGAUGUGUGAUAAUCUUUUGAUGUGCAACUACAUGUUUUUCUUUUCUAGCAAAAACUCCUAUGUACACUGACUCCUGUCUCAGAGCUAUCUGAGAUGCCAGCUCCAAGUCUAUAGUCCUCAGUAAGGUCCCCAAAUAAAACCGAAACAAGUCAUGUGAGUUUUUUAGGCGACAAGGGUAAGAUUUCCAACCUCUUGGGCAGUGGUAGCGCUGAAGUAUCUGUGAACAUACCCUGUGCUUGAUAAAGUGUCUACUUCAAGGCACCUAGGCACCUUUCUCCGGGCUGAUCUGAAACAUAGAUGUUUCUGAUACUGAAGGCUGGCCCUGGAGUAACUUCUCCUUAUUCAGUCAUGGGGUUACUUUGAGAGUGUCUGUGGAUGGUACUUUCUCCUUCUGACAGGUGGCAGAGGCCCCGAACUUCUCUGUGACUGUGCCUCCCUCCAUCCCCUGCGUUUCCACGGCGCCCCCACACUCUGUUGGAAGUAGAACACGUUAGAUGGUACAGAAUUUUUACUUAUAAUAAGAAAUAUGUAUCUAGUCUUCAAUCUGUUUCUGGCACAUAAUCCUAAAACCUUAGAAUUUUCCAGUGAUAAGAGCAGUAAAGAUCUGUCUUGUAAUGCUGAUGAGGUGACUUUCAGACUUCACCUAAGGAUGGG